GAACGCUGGCGGCAGGCUUAACACAUGCAAGUCGAGCGGAUGAAGGUAGCUUGCUACCGGAUUCAGCGGCGGACGGGUGAGUAAUGCUUAGGAAUCUGCCUAUUAGUGGGGGACAACGUUCCGAAAGGAGCGCUAAUACCGCAUACGUCCUACGGGAGAAAGCAGGGGACCUUCGGGCCUUGCGCUAAUAGAUGAGCCUAAGUCGGAUUAGCUAGUUGGUAGGGUAAAGGCCUACCAAGGCGACGAUCUGUAGCGGGUCUGAGAGGAUGAUCCGCCACACUGGGACUGAGACACGGCCCAGACUCCUACGGGAGGCAGCAGUGGGGAAUAUUGGACAAUGGGGGGAACCCUGAUCCAGCCAUGCCGCGUGUGUGAAGAAGGCCUUUUGGUUGUAAAGCACUUUAAGCGAGGAGGAGGCUACCUAGAUUAAUACUUUAGGAUAGUGGACGUUACUCGCAGAAUAAGCACCGGCUAACUCUGUGCCAGCAGCCGCGGUAAUACAGAGGGUGCGAGCGUUAAUCGGAUUUACUGGGCGUAAAGCGUGCGUAGGCGGCCAAUUAAGUCAAAUGUGAAAUCCCCGAGCUUAACUUGGGAAUUGCAUUCGAUACUGGUUGGCUAGAGUAUGGGAGAGGAUGGUAGAAUUCCAGGUGUAGCGGUGAAAUGCGUAGAGAUCUGGAGGAAUACCGAUGGCGAAAGCAGCCAUCUGGCCUAAUACUGACGCUGAGUACGAAAGCAUGGGGAGCAAACAGAUUAGAUACC
rnacentral:rRNA from 1 species